CAAUUUAAUUAGGAUCGAAGGAAAUUCCAUGUAGAUAAAGAUUCUGCUGAAGUGUUAAAAAAAAACAAGAAUAAAGCAGAAAUGAUUGAAAGCAUGUUUUUAAUCACUGUCAGAAUAUUCAUUUCCGCUUUCUGCGUAAUCCACUUUUCGCCUUUUACUUGUAUUAGUAGUGCUGCCAUAUAAUUUCACAUACCUUGCAGACCGCCUAGGUCGCUGGGAAGCAAUAGUGGAGACUCCUUCUGUUUCAUCUUCACUAUCCUUAACGACUAACUCAUCAUCGUCUUCUUCAUCGCCAGACCAUGGUUUUUCUUCCUCGUCUUUGUCAGAUGCAACAUCUUCUAUCUCCUCAUCAUCUUCAAGUAUUUCAAUUUUUGGAGAUGGAGAUCGCUUCCUUUCGGCUUUAUGUUUUUUGUUAGGGACCGAUGACUUUUCAACACUUUUUCUCUUAUGAGAUUUUCUCAAAUCUUGUAUGGGCUCUUUCUCCUCUUCAGAAGUAAGUUCUCCUUCUUCAAUCUUCCUGUCUUUUUCUUCAGAAGCGUCGGAAGCCAUUUUUCUGCAUCGUUCUUCAUCUUCUUCAUCAACAUGACCUUGCUCAAAAGCGCGAAGGAUUUUUUCUUGAACUAUAGGAUCGUUCAAUUCAUUAAAUCCAUCCAAACAAUUCUUAAUAUCUCCUUCAAAUUUUUUGUUUACAUUGCGAAGAACACGUUCCGUAACACAUCCCCAAUGCCUCCAUUUCCAGCUUUGGAAUUUACCAACAUCGACAAAUGUUCCAAACCUUAGAUCUCCUUUCCCUAUUUUCGAUCUAAAAAUGGUUAACUGAUGAUAGUUCCUUUUAUUUUUCGAAUGCUGUGCAUAAUGAUUUGGACAACUACAUAAAUUCUGGUAAAUAGCUAUAUAUACCUUCCGCAAACCGUUCCUUUGCAUUCUGCUCUGCCAGUUUUUGCAAGUUCUGCAAUCGUUAGAAAUUGGAUUUAAUGUAUAAAUUAUUAAAGCGAAUCCAUUGAAAUGCUCGUAAAUAUACGUGUCAUAUUAACACAUACCUACUCGAUAACCAGCGCCAGAUUCAGCCAUAAUUUGAAAAGCAGUAAAACACCAAAAAAACACUUAAAUCCAAAAAAAUAUAACGCUGGAUUAUUAAUUUAAGUAGGCAUAAAUCACUAAACACACAGCUUACAAAUUUUGAAAGAAAACAAAAGCUGUGACCAUGUGCUUUAGUAGUCUAUGAGCGUGACACUUAAAUCGGCAAUCUAAAUAACAAGAUAAAGCAACCCCCUUACAAUACCAGCCUCUUGUAUACUACUUUUCAGCAAGACGAAUAGGUAAUUGGCAAUUGUAUACAAGAUUCUGGUAUUUAAUAAAUACAUGUCAGCUACUCUUACAAUAAGCCGUAUUACGAACACAGGCAUUUCAUUUACCAAAGUAAUUUAUUGAAUCCCUAAAGUCGUUAAUGUGGAAUAUCGAGAAUCAUCCGGGUUUAAGCCAUUACCCUACCAAUCAGUAUUAAGGAAUUAUGCAAGUUGUUGUAAACAAUGCUGGUGAUUUACAAAGUAUGUUAGGAAUUUUCGUUAUUUAGGAAGAAUGAAAGUCUUUUACAUGUCGGGUCUUUCAGUUAAUGUAUGGCAUGCUAAACUUUGUAUACAGUUGUAUAUGAGAUGAAAUCGGCUGUAGUAAAGAGAGCAGAAUUCCUGGGUGUGGGCGGUUGUACACGAACGAUAGGUAUCGAUCUAAAGAAAGGAGUCAGCAACUUUUAAUGUCCAACAUACAUACUAAUAAGACAAAGGGAAUAAAGGAAGAAAAGAAAAAGUAAUAAAAUUUGAUUCUAAGUACUUACGAAGAGUGUUUUAUUUUGAAUAUUUUCUUAACCCGAUUUGGAAAGGUGGAUGUAAAAUGUCGUUUCCAUGAGGAUUUUUGAAGUGUUUCGUUUUCUGUCAUUAUAUUAUAGCACAAUUUUUUUCAUUAACAAUAAUUGUGCAAUUACAAAAAAAGGAGUUGCUCACGAAAAUCGUAAUUAACAAAUAGAAUAAUAAAUGUACACGAGGAUUCAAUGGGAAUUAAUUAGAAUACGACGUUAAAAGAGA